rnacentral:rRNA from 1 species
AGGAAGCCCCGGCCAACUACGUGCCAGCAGCCGCGGUAAUACGUAGGGGGCGAGCGUUGUCCGGAAUCAUUGGGCGUAAAGAGCACGUAGGCGGCCUGUCAAGUCGGAUGUGAAAGCCCGUGGCUUAACUGCGGAAAUGCAUUCGAAACUGGCAGGCUAGAGUCCAGUAGAGGAAAGUGGAAUUCCCAGUGUAGCGGUGAAAUGCGCAGAUAUUGGGAAGAACACCGGUGGCGAAGGCGGCUUUCUGGGCUGUGACUGACGCUGAGGUGCGAAAGCUAGGGGAGCAAACAGGAUUAGAUACCCUGGUAGUCCUAGCCGUAAACGAUGGGCACUAGGUGUGGGG